CUCCUGACCUCGUGAUCUGCCCGUCUCGGCCUCCCAAAGUGCUGGGAUUAUACUUCCUUUUCUUAAGAAAGUUUUCAGGAUUGGGAUAAUGCAGUUACCGAGUAGUUCUGCUAAGUUAUUGAUCUUGGGCUAAAUAAUAUAGUCAGGACUGUCAUUUGGAAAAACACUAUGUUCUUCCAGAGUUAUCCUCUUAUAGAAGGUGAAAACUAAUCUUACUCCCUUAACUUUCUCGGGAAGGUUGAUGUUAAACUUUUAAAAGCCACCCCUUUAAAAAGAAUGCUAGAUAUAGACAAUUUUUAAAGCCAAAGUGAAGGUUUACAAGUCAUUUAAACACUCAAUUACUUGGGGAGAGCCUGAAAUGCCAGCAGAUGGGGUUAUUUAUAGCACUGUGCUGAGAGCCAGUAUAUAUAUUUAUUUGUACGAGAGUGGAAUCUUGGCUCUGGAUCAUUUCCUGACUUGUUUGAGACUCUGAAAUUGAGCAUACCACAAAAAAGUUCUCAUUUUGUGUCCUCCCAUCCCAUUCUCCCCGUUAACCAAAGGCAGCUGAGAAGAUCAAAGACACUCACAUCUCUGAAGAAAGCUUGAUGUUGCUUUCCUCAGUCAAUAAGGACGCCAAGACAGGCCUCUAAGCAGCACAUUCCUGGAGCAGUCCAAGCUCUGCAAGGGGAAGUGCUCUUUUGACAUCCCUUUCUGUUUCACUGAUAUGAACAAGGAAGCACAUUACCCUCAGUGCCUGGCAGCCAUCCUGUGACCAUGAGGAGAGUCAGCUUCAAAUGACCCUUUGGAUAAAAGAGCAAAGAAUCAGAAAGAUCCUGGUUCCUUGAUGACUUCAGCAAGCCAUUAGGUCAAUCAAUAUCCUGAUAUUUGCUCUAUUUCUGGAUUCUAGUGAGGUAAGUCCAUAUAUCCUCGUGUUUCAAACCCAUUUGAGUUAUUUUGUCCUCUUAUGUUGUGGUUUUCACAUAUGACUAUACAUUUUUUCUUUUCAUAUUCCUCCUUUAAAAAAGUGGAGCCUAAUUUUCCCCUACCGUUAGUGUGGGCUUGUCUUCGUGAUUUUUUUAUAAAGCAUAGAGAAUGUGGCAGGAGUGACAGUGAGUGACUUCUGAGAUUAGGACACGAAGGCAUUGUGUCUUCCUCCUUGCUUUCUCUAUUGGAUCACUCACUCUUGAGGAAGUCAGCUCCUGUGUCAUGAGGGCACUCAAACAGCCCUAUGAAGAGGUCCAUGUGGUAAGGAACAGAGGACUUCUGCCAACAGUCAGCACUGACUUGUCAGGUAUGUGAAUGUGCCAUCUUGGAAGCAAGUUCUCCAACUCCAGACAAGCUUUCUAAUAACCAUGGCCCCCGCUGACAUCUUGACUGCAACCCCACGAAGGAACCUGAGCCAGCACCACCAAGCUAAGCCACACCUAAAUUCCUGACUUGCAGAAAAUGUGCGAAAAUAAAUGUUUAUUGUUUUAAGCCAUUAA